rnacentral:rRNA from 1 species
GAGUACAGGAGAGGAAAGCGGAAUUCCUAGNGUAGCGGUGAAAUGCGUAGAUAUUAGGAAGAACACCAGUGGCGAAGGCGGCUUUCUGGACUGAAACUGACGCUGAGGCUCGAAAGCGUGGGGAGCAAACAGGAUUAGAUACCCUGGUAGUCCACGCCGUAAACGAUGAGUGCUAGGUGUCGGGGAGGAAUCCUCGGUGCCGCAGCUAACGCAAUAAGCACUCCACCUGGGGAGUACGACCGCAAGGUUGAAACUCAAAGGAAUUGACGGGGGCCCGCACAAGCGGUGGAGCAUGUGGUUUAAUUCGAAGCAACGCGAAGAACCUUACCAAGGCUUGACAUCCCGAUGACCGCUCUAGAGAUAGAGCUUCUCUUCGGAGCAUCGGUGACAGGUGGUGCAUGGUUGUCGUCAGCUCGUGUCGUGAGAUGUUGGGUUAAGUCCCGCAACGAGCGCAACCCUUAUCUUCAGUAGCCAUCAUUCAGUUGGGCACUCUGGAGAGACUGCCGUGGAUAACACGGAGGAAGGUGGGGAUGACGUCAAAUCAUCAUGCCCCUUAUGUCUUGGGCUACACACGUGCUACAAUGGCUGGUAACAAAGUGACGCGAAACGGCGACGUUAAGCAAAUCACAAAAACCCAGUCCCAGUUCGGAUUGUAGUCUGCAACUCGACUACAUGAAGCUGGAAUCGCUAGUAAUCGCGAAUCAGCAUGUCGCGGUGAAUACGUUCCCGGGCCUUGUACACACCGCCCGUCACACCAUGGGAGUUGGAAGCACCCGAAGUCGGUGACCUAACCGUAAGGAAGGAGCCGCCGAAGGUGAAGCCAGUGACUGGGGUGAAGUCGUAACAAGGUAACCA